rnacentral:rRNA from 1 species
GAUGAACGCUGGCGGCGUGCCUAAUACAUGCAAGUCGGACGGAGCGCUUCGGCGCUCAGUGGCGAACGGGUGAGUAGCACAUGGGCAACCUGCCCUUCAGAGGGGGACAACAGCUGGAAACGGCUGCUAAGACCGCAUGAGACCACAGCACCGCAUGGUGCAGGGGUAAAAACUCCGGUGGUAUGAGAUGGACCCGCGUCUGAUUAGGUAGUUGGUGGGGUAACGGCCUACCAAGCCGACGAUCAGUAGCCGACCUGAGAGGGUGACCGGCCACAUUGGGACUGAGACACGGCCCAA